UACGGAGGGUGCAAGCGUUAUCCGGAUUUACUGGGUUUAAAGGGUGCGUAGGUGGGUCUGUAAGUCAGUGGUGAAAUCUCCAAGCUUAACUUGGAACUGCCGUUGAUACUAUAGAUCUUGAAUGUUGUGGAGGUGAGCGGAAUAUGGUCAUGUAGCGGUGAAAUGCUUAGAUAUGACAUAGAACACCAAAUUGCGAAGGCAGCUGGCUACAGGGAUAAUUGGACACUGAGGCACGGAAAGCGUGGGGAUC
rnacentral:rRNA from 1 species